CCCCACUUACCCUCAAUCUGCUCAGGAGUGAACUCCAGCUGCAAGAAAGUAAAUAAAUAAAUAAAUAAAUAUUUAUUUAACUUCACUACAGGAGAAUUUUAUUUUAUUUGAUUUAACUUUUAAUUAAAUUCCUUCUAAUGUUAGUAAGCUAAAUAUAAAGCAUUUAAAUUUUAUGUACAGAAUACAGUAUAGUAGUAUUUACAGUCGAUACAGAUUGACCAGUACAGGAGCAAAGUACCGUCAUUCUAAAAUUAGUUGUAAAUUUAAUUCUGAGGAAAGCACAUGUGUGCUGUAUUAUUUUUUCUCGGCCUUGAGGCCUCAGUAAAUAUUUUACUCCUCAGCUCAGGUUACACUCGGUUAAUUCAGCUGCUCUCGCCUGCCUUCUGUCCUGAAGCAUGUAGGCAUGACCUUGACACACACACACGCACACACACACACACACACACACACACACACACACACACACACACACACACGUGUCACAGAGACGCUUUGAACAAGCUAAAUUAAGUGUGAACACAUUUGUUUUGUCACACGGUUUGUUAUUGUUUCCUGGCUGCACUACAAAUCCAAUUUAGUUAAGGCUAAUGAAAAUUCAGCUUAACCUUCACACUGCUACAAUCCAUAAUUCUCAUCUGCAUGUCGCUAAUAGUUUAAUUCAAUUUAUGUCAAUUAUUAGUUUAGCUGUAGAUUUAACAGAUUUAGCUGAACUGAUGUCAAUAACUUGUGUAGUAGCAUAUAUAUUAAAGCCUCGGGUAUCGAGAAAUGGAUAAAAAUAGCACAUUUUUAUUUGCACAGCGUGGACUUUCAGCUUUUAGAGAAUAUAUGCAUUUUAAUAACAUUACACACUAACUUACUUGCAUAAUUUACAUAUAUAUAACUUAAAGUACUGGAAGGAGUGUAUGUUAAAAUAAAUAUCAGAAAACUAAAUACCUUUAAAUCAAGUAAAUAACUGUAAAGUUGUCAUGUCAUCACAAGCCAGCGCCUACAUUUCCCAGAAUGCACCACUAACUACAAACAUGGCUGAUAACUACACUUCCCAAACACACACACACACACACACACACACACACACACACACACACACACACACACACACACACACACACACACACAGUAUGAGUAGCAGUAACAAUAGUAGUAGGAGCAGCACUAGAAGUAGCAGUAGUAGUAGCAGUAUGAGUAGUAGAAGUAAAAGUAGAAGUAGCAGUAUGAGUAGUAGAAGUAGCAGUAGUAGUAGCAGCAUGAGUACAAGUAGAAGUAGCAGUAUGAGUAGAAGUAGCAGUAGUAGAAGUAGCAGUAUGAGUAGUAGCAGUAUGAGUAGAAGUAGCAGUAUGAGUAGUAGCAGUAUGAGUAGUAGCAGUAUGAGUAGAAGUAGAAGUAGUAGAAGUAGCAGUAGUAGAAGUAUCAGUAUGAGUAGUAGCAGUAUGAGUAGUAGAAGUAUGAGUAGAAGUAUCAGUAUGAGUAGUAGCAGUAUGAGUAGUAGCAGUAUGAGUAGAAGUAGAAGUAGUAGAAGUAGCAGUAGUAGAAGUAGAAGUAGUAGAAGUAGAAGUAGUAGAAGUAUCAGUAUGAGUAGUAGCAGUAUGAGUAGAAGUAGCAGUAGUAGGAGUAGCAGUAUGAGUAGUAGCAGUGGCAGGAGGUAGUGUGUGAGCGGGUGGUCUGUGCUGUACUGUGGUGUGUUGUGCUGUGGGAAGUUGGUAAUGAAACUCAGAUGAACUGCAGUGUUCCUGUGUGAGGGAAGCGAGUGGAAUGAAAUACACACUUUUGUCCUGAUGUUGUUUUUUUUUAACUCGAGCUCUGCGGUCUGCUUUAAACAAAACUCUGAGAAAAUAAAUGGCGUCAAGUUUCGGCUUUUUCCAACGAUAUGGUUUCAGAAUAUCGCUUUCAGAUGGAGUACAAUUUAUGAGAUGGUGAGCUGAAAUAACAGUCACACACAUGCACACACACACACACACACACACAAACACACACACGCACACACACACAUGUACACACGCACACACACACACACACACACACAUGCACACACACACACACGCGCGCACAUGCACGCACACACUCACACACACACACACACACAAACGCGCACACACACACACGCACAUACUCACAUACACACACAUGCACACACACACAUAAUUCCAGCUAAUGGAAACACUUGCUUAAUUCAUCCUCAAAAAACAAAACAAAAAACAACUUUAAGCAGAUUUAGCACGCUCCUGAUAUUAUUACAGAACUGUACACACUAUAAUAAUAAUAAUAAGAAGAAGAAGAAGAAGAAGAAGAAGAAAUUAUUUUAAGAAUUUUACAAUGUGAAAACUUACAUUAGUGUUAUUGUAAUUGUAGUUAAUAUAAUUUAUAAAGAAUAACUUUCUCUUAUUAUAACCUGCAGUUUUAAACUCUUAUUUUUUUCCUUUAAGGUCAUGAAUUAAUUAAUUACUUGAUUGAUUGAUUGAUUGAUUAAUGAAUUAAUUAAUGCACUGUAACCUGAUAUUAUUAUUUUAAUAAUAUAAGAUGAUUAUUAUCAGCUGCAGUAUGAACUCUAGCCUUCAUUUUCCUGAUGAUUUUAUUGCACAAGUCUGCUUCGGGGCAUGUGAAGGUUGUCCAUGAUCAUGAUUCAAAGCCGUCAUUUCCAUAAAGUCUUUUGAAAUCAUUUCAGCAGCCCUAUGACACAGCCACUUCAGGAACAAGUCCUGCUCUGCUGCUGGGAGAGAAGAACUAAAGCUCUCGAGUCAUUCGUGUUAAUGAUGAAAUGAUCCGCUCGUCCGUGUUUGUUAUUAACAUGUAUAAUUACAGAGAAGUUUCUCUUUACUCAGGAGGAAAAGCUGCGAGUCGGAGAAACAGAUGAAAAGAGAUAGAAAAAACUGGACAAGGUACAAACAUAUGACACACACACUUUUUAUAUGUUUGUUAAAUGCAGUGUGUGUGUGGGGGGGGUAUAAAUGUGUGUGUGGGGGGUAUAAAUGUGUG
ensembl:lncRNA